CAGUAGCCACGGUAAUACGAAGGGUGCAAGCGUUACUCGGAAUUACUGGGCGUAAAGCGUGCGUAGGUGGUGGUUUAAGUCCGUUGUGAAAGCCCUGGGCUCAACCUGGGAAUUGCAGUGGAUACUGGGUCACUAGAGUGUGGUAGAGGAUAGUGGAAUCUCCGGUGUAGCAGUGAAAUGCGUAGAGAUCGGAAGGAACAUCUGUGGCGAAGGCGACUAUCUGGGCCAACACUGACACUGAGGCACGAAAGCGUGGGGAGCAAACAGGAUUAGAUACCCCCGUAGUCCCUGUCUCUUAUAC
rnacentral:rRNA from 1 species